rnacentral:rRNA from 1 species
UACAGGGGGUGCAAACGUUGCUCGGAAUUACUGGGCGUAAAGGGCGCGUAGGCGGCACUGUUAGUCAGGCGUGAAAUUCCUGGGCUCAACCUGGGGACUGCGCUUGAUACGGCAGAGCUUGAGGAUGGAAGAGGGUCGCGGAAUUCCCAGUGUAGAGGUGAAAUUCGUAGAUAUUGGGAAGAACACCGGUGGCGAAGGCGGCGACCUGGUCCAUUACUGACGCUGAGGCGCGACAGCGUGGGGAGCAAACAGG